rnacentral:lncRNA from 1 species
UAUCCCACAUUUCUUUAUCCGCGUAAAUAUUCGACAAAGCAAUACUGUCACCAACAUAGCCAGGGUCCAAGUUGAUCAACUUAUCCCGAACUUCAGUGGCUAGCUUUAAAUCACCAUGGAGGCUACACGCCCCCAGUAAGGUUCGCCACAUGACCGCAUUCGGAGGCACCGACAUCUCCAUCACGAAGUCAUAGGCUUCUCUCAGAUGGCUGCUUCGGCAUAAGAGGUCCACCAUGCAGCCAAAAUGAGGCUCUCUUGGUUCUAUACCAUAGUCUUCGGUCAUACUUCGAAAAUGACGUUUCCCUUCCUCGACCAACCCUGCAUGGCUGCAAGCCAUUAAAACUCCAAUGAACGUUACAUCGUUCGGGGAUACAAUAAAUUUCAUUUCUGAGAAAAGUUGAAGAGCUUCAUGAGCUUGGCCAUGUACUGCAUGCCCAACAAUCAUAGAAGUCCAAGUUGUUACAUCUUUGUUUCUCGUACUAUCAAACAACUUCCUUGCAUUUCCAAUAUCACCACACUUAGCAUACAUAUUUAUAAGAGCAUUAUUCAAAUGCAAAUCAAUUUUCAUCCCUUGUUUACGCCGAACAAAAUCAUGAAUCCAUUCACCCAUUUCGAGUCCCCCAGUAUCCGCACAAGCAGAGAGAGCGGUCGUCAAAACAAUUUGAUCAGGCUCCACAUUGUUCAUCAACAUCAGCCUAAACAACUCCAAACCUUUAUUGGAUUUAUGAUUUUCAACAUAAGCCGAAAUCAAAGACGUCCAACAAAUAAUAUUCUUUUCGGGUAUUUCAUCAAACACUUGGUGUGCAUCAAAUAAACAUUGUUAAGCAGGAACAAUUGACCUCUUUGUAAGAGAUCAACGGCCUCUAGAGCUAGGAAGCCAAAAGUGUCGAACACAAAUGGUAUACAAGAAUGUUGAUUGUUGAAGCACCUUUUAUCAUGUUUGGUGACUUUGUUUGAAACGGAUUUGAGGGUAGCCUAUCAUACAACAAAAGUAUCUCUCCCCAAUCGUACAUGUGAAGAAACAACGAUUAAGUCCACACAUAACUGUUCUGUUUUUUUUUUCUUUUUCAAAUAGGUGCAUGUCGAGUUAGAUCGGUCAAUGAUAUAUAGAAAUCAUAACAUAAUCGUAUUUUAACUACGAAGUAGGUGUAUGGAUGACCUUGUGGUAUUCUCCUAAACUGUUUUCAGAAAAUUUCAUACAUUUUACUAUGAAUACUCAAAAGACUAAGACAAAUACUUUUCAACCCAAACUCAUAGUAUAUCAUACACGUUUUCGGCAUGCUAAGUUCAUACUGCAGAAUAUAUGUCAAGCUAUGCCUUUCAUCCAAUUUUGCAGUUCAUUUUUAACAAAAGUAAGAUGCAAUCAAGCACCACACAUAUCACCAUGCACAAUAAUCCAAAAAUCAUACAUUUCUCCACUCAAAAAACAUAUUACAGAGUAAGAUGCAAUCUUACACCAAAAUCAAAUCAAAAAAGGGGAUUUAGAAAUUUGAUCAGGUCCUUCAGUUGACUUCUUUCUCCACUAAACUGCAUCUUUAUGGAUGAAACUUUGAGUUGCUUGCUUCUUUGCAGGACGACUAACAGGAAUCCCUGCAUCACACAUAUCACCAUGCACAAAAAUUCUCAGAGCCAACAUUUCAUUCAUACAUAAAGAGGGUGCUAGAUUAACAUUUAUUUUUUGAUACACUAUAUACCAGAUGAGAGUUUCAUCCCUUCCAGGAUGUAAAAAUCAUAUUUCGGUAUUCGACAAAAUACACGGCUAAUAACAAUAAUAUCAUACUUUAUAAGGAGCUGAAGUGAAGAUGAAUUUAAAAUUAACAUAAAAAUGGAUGUACUGAAAGAAAGAACAGAUAGAAGUGGGAACCUGUAAGGGUGAAAAGGAUAUAUAAUGUAAUGGAGAAAUUACAAUCUACCACCCCAAAACUUUUAUCGGUAAAAGCUUUGGCACAUCAAGUUAAAACCGUACAUUUGAUACCUUGUGAUUAAUUAAAAUUUUACGUACCUUGGUUAGGUUCAACAGAUUUAGCAUGAGAGCGCUUCUUCUUCACAUAGUUCUCUUGCAAGGGCUUAGGCUUUUGAAAUGAGAACCGUGCAGAAGUAACACCAUCUGUCGUGUACUCUGAAUGAUUCACCAAGAACCUUAAAACACAAGCACCGGGAGCAAAAUGUAAGAAAGAUGAAAGCCAAAAUUUAAUAAUGAAGAUGACAAUGGUUCAAUUAAGACAAGGUAGCUUUCAAGGUCACAUUGCAGAGAUAGUAAAGAAGAAGCAGAAGGAACAUACUUGUUCACUUCAGGCAUUGAGCGCAAUUUCUUGCCUGAUGGUGCUUCAUAGUAUCUGAAAUAUUAAAAAAUCACAACAAUGACAAAAUGAUGAUAAUGAAAAUUAGAAAUUCUAUGAGGGCAUACUUUCCUAGACAAAAUUCAUAAUAGUUGUAUUGAUACAUAGGUUUUGAUAAAAAGAAUGACCAAUAAUGGAUACUUACAUAUCUCCAAAUUGGCUGCUUCCUUCACCUCUAAUUUGUAGCAGUCGCUGCCAUCCAUCUGGAGUCUGUGGAAUUCCUGGCUUGUCAAUAGCCCAAAUCAUACUGUCAUCCUGAGAAACAUCCUCUGGAUCAUCACAAGAAAUAUCAGGUCGCCACUCCCGAGCAUUUUCACAAACAAAAGGAUGUUGAAGGUUAUGUUCACGUAUUUCUUCAUAUUUUUUCUCCGUUGGAGUUAACCUCCAUUUAGAACAGUAAUGACAUUGAACAGCGAAAGCACCAACUACUGGCAAAACUCUAUGAGCUGAACUCCGAGGUGGUCUACGCAGAAGGGGAUCAUGGGCAAGUUGAUUUGUGUUGUCACUAUUUGUCAUAGGGUUAUAUUCAUCAUCAUCAUCUGAAGAAGAAGAAGAAGAAGAGGAAGAAGAAGAAGAAGAAACGUAUAUGUGAUCUGGAAGACGAUGCAUUUGAUUUUCCAAGAAAUCACACCUGAUACAUUCAAAAAAGGAUCAAAGAAGUAAUAAAGCAAUAAACCUUAAUAUUGUUAAACAUCCAACCUAAUGAAUAUAAUUAAGCAGGCAAAAGCACUUUCUUGAAUAAAUUCAACGCACAAAAGAAUUUUUUUGUCAAUAUUCUUGGGACUGUAUAUCAAUCCACUCAAGAUUUUUUUUUCCUUUCUAUAGUCGAUCUACUCAAGAUCAUUUUUUUUUAUAGUCGAUCCACCCAAGAUCUAUGCAUAUCUUCUUUUGUCCAUAUUCAUUAAAUAAUAAUAAUUAGGCUUAGCCAAGGUUUUCAAAUCAUGAAUCCGAAGAACUAUUUUCUAACUCAUAAAUCAAAUUUUAUUACGAAUCGUAAAAACGACAUUUGAACUAAAAACAAGCAACAUAAGCAAAAACUUAUAAGCUGAUACAUCAUGUUUGAAUUUCAAAAUAGUUCAAGAUUGAAAUGACAAAUCAAUGAGAGUAGCAAUAACACAACAAAUCAACAGAAAGAGGAGAAAUUGGGAUUGACUUCAAACAAGACAAGGGAACCAUAAACAUAAAAUAACAGAGAAGAGACUUGGAAGCACUGACCAGGAAAAAGUAAUGCAAAAAGCGCACUUAGGAGGAUAGGAGCGAAGACCUGGUCCCUUUUAAGAUCUGGAUCUGGACAACAGUUGACAGCAGAACGGAUUUGGCUCGUGCGGCCUGGUCCCUUUCUGGGAUCGCACACUAUCUCUCCUGCGCUAUAGUCAAUAGUUGGAUUAAUCGAACAGAUGAGGGAAAAUAAACGAAAAAACAGAUAAUAAAAAUCAACUUUCUAUGAAUCUCGCUCUACUCUCACACAAUCUUUCAUCAUCUUGACCACGCACGCACAGCGGCGAUGAGAAGACCUAUAAAUGGGGCACCAAGUUUAGUGGCAACAACGUGGAGUUCGCAUGGCGCACCACGUGGCACAUAAAAUGCAAUUCACCAAAAAAAAGAUAAUGUAAUUAUGAGAUCAAUAAUUACUUACUAUUACUAUUUACUAUUAUGAUUUGUUCUAUAUUCUUGAUUUUUCUGGUUUAGUCAUUUUUAUCAAGUCAGUAUCAAAUCAACUGAUUAUCAGUUAUAAUCAAGGUUCUUAAUAUUUUCUUUCCUCCUCUCAUCUUACAUCCCACAACUUCAACAUGUGUAAACAAAGAGCUUUCAAAUGUAACUUAAAUUCACACUCACAUAAGGUUUAAAUUUUGACAAUCUACAGGCAUGUUUAAUUAUUGUUUUACUCUAUCAAUUAAAAAAGGUAAUAAACAAUUCCAUUUCUUGUUUUGAAAAUUUUGUACUGGAACUAGGGAAAACAAUACAAAACUCUAGAUAUUUAAAACAAAGUGAAAACAAUGUAACAUUUCUUUAAUUAAAAGUGAUAGCAAAAAAUUAAAACGGAAAGCACACCUAUAAAUUUCUAAAUACAAUGGUUGUGAUGGUGAACGUUGACAGAACAAAACAAAGGAGUAAAUCCACAUUAGUUAGUCCUCUGCAUCCAUUUAAUAUGGCUCAAUGUUUAUAGUAAGUUGGUGACAAAUUAAAAAUGGAUGAAAAAACCACAAAAUUAUAAAGAUUCAUAGAUAUGAAGUUGGACAGUACAAACCUUGCGUCUCCUUCUCCACAAAUUUAAUAUUUCAAUUUUCGUAAAGGCUUUACUAGAUAGCCUGCUGCUCCGAAUUUCAAGCACUUAACAACAACGGAUACCUCAUCUUGUGCGGACAUCAUUUAUCAAGACAAGAUAUUCAAAACAUUGAUGAGAAGCAGAACAUAAUGCCUCAACUCAAGAAUCUUCUUAUUGGUCUAUAAGAGCAUACAAAAUGGAGGACCCCAUUUUUUAGUACUUAAACGGGUCCCACGUGUACACAUCACUCAUUUAUAAUUUUUUAAUAGUAGUACUUAAUAAGAACUCAAUCCCUCUAACACUGCUUACACAAAUUUCUUAAAUGGGACCCACAAAUCAACUAUCAAUAACUUUAUAUCAGUACAUAUCAAAUAAGAGCCAAGUAAAUAACUAAACCUUACUUAUAAUAGGAAUUCUGCACAAUUCUGUCUUGUGGUGUGUACUUUAACAUCCUCAUACCCUUCUUCGGACCUCAUCAUGGCCAAUUAUAUGUUCCCCCUCUGCAUUCAGUGCAUCAAUUACAUGUCUUGCUAAUUUCAUGAAAUAACUGUCAAGCAUGAAAAAUCAACUGUUUUAGAAAUAAUCAUAAAUUGCAUAAGAUUUAAGCUAUACCAGCCAAACGCUCAACGCUCACACCCUAGGAAUAAAAAAAAUAACUCAAUCAAAUGACCACUUUUUAACGGAUAAAAAAAACUUCUCAAUAUAUUCAUACUAAGAUUAUAAAAGCAAAACUUAGACCUGAUAGUAAUUACAAAAUACAAUAAAACUUGCUAAUUGAACUCUAAAAUGACAUUAAAAACCCUAUAUGAUUUUCUGUGAUCAACCCUCAUCAUGGCCAAGAUACAAGUAAGGCUAACAGGUUCAAAUAGAAUCGUUUGACACACAUAUAGCUAAAACCAUAACACUCACAAAAAAAAAAAAAAAAACAUUCAUACACACACACCAUGAUAAUUGAUAACAACAUCUCAACAAAACCAAAAACCUUUUGUUGAAAAUUUGGGGCCUAACUCAUCCUUACAAAACCAGCUUGUAAGGUGAGGAGUGCCUCCUCUUUAUAAACUCUUCUCAAGAGUGCUAUCUAUCCAAUGUGGGACUAAAUCCACCCCCUCAAAGCCAACACAAUGAAGGUGUUGGAGGCUGCAAUGAAGGCUAACCAAAGGUUGCAAUUUAGGCGACUAGGGGCGGACCGCAAUUAAAGCGGAAUUUCCAACACCGUUCAAUCACUCACUAAACACUACCAAAGCUACAGAAACUAUGAAGCUAUACUCCUCAGAUUAGGCAUUUCUAGUGUCGGAUACGUAUUAUGUCUAACACCGACGCAUAUAAUUAGAAUUAUCAUUUUCUCAAAUUAUUAUCGGUGUCGACGAAUCCGUGUUGCGUCCGGUGUCUGUGCUCCAUAACUUCUAAAAAACUUAAAACAAAAACAUUUUCUCACAAACCCUAUGAUAACAUUAGGCUUAUACACUGUCAUUCGCCAAUAACUUGCUAUAUAAUUCAAUUGACAAAACCGGAAUUCAUAAGUUAGAUAAGAGCUUGCCUUAGACCAAUUUUUCAACUCUGAUACAUACACAUGCCUUUGCAUUCUGAAACCAGCCACGGAAACACUACUGCAGCCCUCCAUAACACGACUUCGACGCAACCAACUCAAUCUUGAAACUCGUCCAUAGCAAAAAUAUUUCCAUCAUUACUUACACAUUUUCUCUUCAAACUCUUUCAUAAAAAACAGACACAAACAACAUUAUCCAAAUCCUAACAAACCCCAAAAAUAACAUGUUCAUAACUCAAACGAACAACCUCCUUUGCGUGCCUGCAACGCGCUUCCUCAUUCAUGCAAAUCGAAGAGGUUUCAUUUGGUUUGGAGUGUCUCUAAUAACCUGUUGUUGCGCAAGACUGAAUAUAUCUAUCACCAAGUUCAGAUGAUCACCAUUAUGAUGUAUAAACUUUUAACAUAAAUGAAAUAAAAGAAAUCACAAGUUCCUGAUAUGCUUAUUCUAUCAGUAAAUAUUCAAUAAAAACACCAUCAGAUAAAUGGAAUUCUGCCUAUUUUUAGCCCGCUUUAUAGUAUCAAAUAUUAAUAAAAUAAAAAAUGGAAACGGCCUGCUGGUGUAGGAUUUGGACGGCUAGGUCCCCUAGAUUAGUCACUCAUUGAGCCGGAUACCGAAUUUUCAAAAAAAUUACAAAAAAAUGAAAAUUAUUCUUUAAACUGAGUGUAACAGACUGAAUUUUACCGAUUUACUGUUGGAAACGGUUAUAACUUGCAGUGAUCUUUGAAUAUAAGUUUGUACCACUUUUAUUGUUGGAAUGUCAUUGAGUUGGUUUCUAUUAUGAUUUUGUUUGCAACUAAAAACCGGACGGGACUGAAUAGAAAAGGAAAAACAAACUAAACAGCGUUUUGGAAUCUUCUUGUACCUUCAAACAAUCCUUAUGAGUGCUCUAAUGGGCUACAAGGCCAUGGGAAGUAAAACUGUAACUUUUCAUACUUCUGAUCAAAUGUCAUUACAGGAAGAUUAUCAUUUGAAGUUCUAAAUUAACUAACCAAACUUCCCACUUCAAUUGAGCUGAAGCCAUGAGCUUUAGACUGUUUAAUCUGAUUCCUAACAAUAAUCUUUUUAUCCCACAUUUCUUUAUCCGCGUAAAUAUUUGACAAAGCAACACUGUCACCAACAUAGCCAGGGUCCAAGUUGAUCAACUUAUCCCGAACUUCAGUGGCUAGCUUUAAAUUACCAUGGAGGCUACACGCCCCCAGUAAGGUUCGCCACAUGACUGCAUUCGGAGGCACCGGCAUCUCCAUAAUGAAGUCAUAUGCUUCUCUCAAAUGGCCGCUUCGGCAGAAGAGGUCCACCAUGCAGCCAAAAUGAGGCUCUCUUGGUUCUAUACCAUAGUCUUCGUUCAUACU